rnacentral:rRNA from 1 species
CAAGCGGUGGAGCAUGUGGUUUAAUUCGAUGCAACGCGAAGAACCUUACCUGGGCUUGACAUCCCGGGAAUCCCCGUGGAAACAGGGGAGUGCCCUUCGGGGAACCCGGUGACAGGUGCUGCAUGGCUGUCGUCAGCUCGUGUCGUGAGAUGUUGGGUUAAGUCCCGCAACGAGCGCAACCCUUGUCUUUAAUUGCCAUCAUUUAGUUGGGCACUUUAAUGAGACUGCCGGUGACAAGCCGGAGGAAGGUGGGGAUGACGUCAAGUCCUCAUGGCCCUUAUAGGUGGGGCUACACACGUCAUACAAUGGCUGGUACAAAGGGUUGCCAACCCGCGAGGGGGAGCUAAUCCCAUAAAGCCAGUCGUAGUCCGGAUCGUAGUCUGCAACUCGACUACGUGAAGUCGGAAUCGCUAGUAAUCGUGGAUCAGAAUGUCACGGUGAAUACGUUCCCGGGUCUU